rnacentral:rRNA from 1 species
GUCGAGCGGACAGAUGGGAGCUUGCUCCCUGAUGUUAGCGGCGGACGGGUGAGUAACACGUGGGUAACCUGCCUGUAAGACUGGGAUAACUCCGGGAAACCGGGGCUAAUACCGGAUGCUUGUUUGAACCGCAUGGUUCAAACAUAAAAGGUGGCUUCGGCUACCACUUACAGAUGGACCCGCGGCGCAUUAGCUAGUUGGUGAGGUAAUGGCUCACCAAGGCAACGAUGCGUAGCCGACCUGAGAGGGUGAUCGGCCACACUGGGACUGAGACACGGCCCAGACUCCUACGGGAGGCAGCAGUAGGGAAUCUUCCGCAAUGGACGAAAGUCUGACGGAGCAACGCCGCGUGAGUGAUGAAGGUUUUCGGAUCGUAAAGCUCUGUUGUUAGGGAAGAACAAGUACCGUUCGAAUAGGGCGGUACCUUGACGGUACCUAACCAGAAAGCCACGGCUAACUACGUGCCAGCAGCCGCGGUAAUACGUAGGUGGCAAGCGUUGUCCGGAAUUAUUGGGCGUAAAGGGCUCGCAGGCGGUUUCUUAAGUCUGAUGUGAAAGCCCCCGGCUCAACC